UACAUGUGGGGCAAGCGUUGUUCGGAAUUACUGGGCAUAAAGGGUGCGUAGGUGGCUUGUUAAGUCAGGGGUGAAAGUUUUCGGCCCAACCGGAAAAUGGCCUUUGAUACUGGCGAGCUCGAGUGCGUGAGGGGUAACCGGAACGAGCAGUGUAGCGGUGAAAUGCGUAGAUAUUGCUCGGAAGGCCAACGGCGAAGGCAGGUUACUGGUGCGCAACUGACGCUGAGGAGCGAAAGCAUGGGGAGCGAACAGG
rnacentral:rRNA from 1 species